rnacentral:rRNA from 1 species
GCACCGGCUAACUACGUGCCAGCAGCCGCGGUAAUACGUAGGGUGCGAGCGUUGUCCGGAAUUAUUGGGCGUAAAGAGCUUGUAGGCGGUUUGUCGCGUCUGCUGUGAAAAUCCGGGGGCUCAACCCCGGACUUGCAGUGGGUACGGGCAGACUAGAGUGUGGUAGGGGAGACUGGAAUUCCUGGUGUAGCGGUGGAAUGCGCAGAUAUCAGGAGGAACACCGAUGGCGAAGGCAGGUCUCUGGGCCACUACUGACGCUGAGAAGCGAAAGCAUGGGGAGCGAACAGGAUUAGAUACCCUGGUAGUCCAUGCCGUAAACGUUGGGCGCUAGGUGUGGGGCUCAUUCCACGAGUUCCGUGCCGCAGCUAACGCAUUAAGCGCCCCGCCUGGGGAGUACGGCCGCA